AUGACCAUAUCAUUUGAAAUACCAGUUCUCAUGCAAUCACCAAAGUUAAGCAAUGUUGAGCCUGGUCAGUAUCUAGAUGGGUGACCACUUGGGAAUACCAGGUGCUGUAAG
rnacentral:rRNA from 1 species